AGAGUUUGAUCCUGGCUCAGGAUGAACGCUGGCGGUGUGCCUUAUACAUGCAAGUCGAACGAUGAAGCAGAGCUUGCUCUGUGGAUUAGUGGCAAACGGGUGAGUAAUAGAUAGGUAACCUUCCUUGAAGAUGGGGAUAUACGGUAGAAAUACCGGGCAAUACCCAAUAAUGUCAUUUCCCUUAAGGGUUAUGAAGAAAGAUGCAAAUCGCUUUGAGACGGACUUAUCUCCUAUCAGCUAGUUGGUGAGGUAAUGGCUCACCAAGGCUACGACGGGUAGCUGGUCUGAGAGGACGGUCAGCCACAUUGGGACUGAGACACGGCCCAGACUCCUACGGGAGGCAGCAGUCGGGAAUAUUCGGCAAUGGGCGAAAGCCGACCGAGCGACACCGCGUGAAUGACGAAGGCCUUCGGGUCGUAAAAUUCUUUUACUUGGGAAGAACGCAUAGCAAUAUGUUUGACGGUACCAAGUGAAUAAGCCCCAGCUAACUACGUGCCAGCAGCUGCGGUAAUACGUAGGGGGCGAGCGUUAUCCGGAAUCACUGGGCGUAAAGGGUCCGUAGGCGUCCUGUUAAGUUAGGAGUUAAAUCGCAAGGCUCAACCUUGCGGCUGCUCCUAAUACUGGCAGGAUAGAGGGUAGGAGACGGAAGUGGAAUUCCUGGUGGAGAGGUAAAAUCCGUAGAUAUCAGGAGGAACACCUGUGGCGUAGGCGGCUUCCGAGUCUACUCCUGACGCUGAUGGACGAAAGCUAGGGGAGCAAACAGGAUUAGAUACCCUGGUAGUCCUAGCUGUAAACGAUGAAUACUUGGUAGUGGAUUGUACACACUUUUCACCGCCGAAGCUAACGCGUUAAGUAUUCCGCCUGGGAAGUACGGCCGCAAGGUUGAAACUCAAAGGAAUUGACGGGUCCCCGCACAAGCAGCGAGGCAUGUGGAUUAAUUCGAUGCAACACGAAGAACCUUACCUGGGCUUGACAUGUUUUGGAAAGCCGUAUGAAAGUAUGGCCCUUUUAGGUUUACCUAAAACCGAUUCACAGGUGGUGCAUGGUUGUCGUCAGCUCGUGUCGUGAGAUGUAAGGUUAAGUCCUUAAACGAGCGCAACCUCUGUCGCUAGUUGCCACCAGUUCGGCUGAGCACUCUAGCGAGACCGCUAGCGAUAAGCUAGAGGAAGAUGGAGAUGACGUCAAAUCCUCACGUCCCUUAUGUCCAGGGCUUCACACAUGCGACAAUGGUAGAGACAGCAGGUUGCGACGAGGUAACUCUGAGCUAAUCCUUAAACUCUGCCUCAGUACAGAUCGAGGGCUGAAAUUCGGCCUCGUGAAGAUGGAGUUGCUAGUAAACGCAGGUCAGCUAUACUGCGUUGAAUACGUUCCCGGGGAUUGUACACACCGCCCGUCACACCACCCGAGUCGUGUGCACCCGAAGUCGGAUACCCCAACCUUUUAGGAGGGGACUGCCGAAGGUGUGCUCGGUAAGGAGGGUGAAGUCGUAACAAGGCA
rnacentral:rRNA from 1 species